rnacentral:rRNA from 1 species
AUUCGAUUGGGAAUUUUCCGCAAUGGGCGCAAGCCUGACGGAGCAAGACCGCGUGGGGGAGGAAGGCUCUUGGGUUGUAAACCCCUUUUCUCAAGGAAGAACAAAAUGACGGUACUUGAGGAAUCAGCCUCGGCUAACUCCGUGCCAGCAGCCGCGGUAAUACGGAGGAGGCAAGCGUUAUCCGGAAUUAUUGGGCGUAAAGCGUCCGUAGGUGGUGGGGCAAGUCGGCGGUUAAAGACUGGGGCUUAACUCCAGAAAGGCCGUGGAAACUGCACCACUAGAGGGCAGUAGGGGUAGAGGGAAUUCCCGGUGUAGCGGUGAAAUGCGUAGAGAUCGGGAAGAACACCAGUGGCGAAAGCGCUCUACUGGACUGCAACUGACACUCAGGGACGAAAGCUAGGGGAGCGAAUGGGAUUAGAUACCCCAGUAGUCA